rnacentral:lncRNA from 1 species
CGUAAGUAACCUCCACGUCACCUGAUAAGUGAUACUGAUACCCCAUAACGUCAUAUUUAAAGCAGAGAGGAAAAAAAAGUUAAAUUAAAUAAACGCCGAGUUCGCCCCCGUACUAACUCCGUCGACUAACCCCGCCGCGCCGCCGCCGCCGAACGGUGGUGGUUCACUUAGUAUUCGAUAUAAUCCAAAUAAAGUCUCCGCCGCACAUCAACACUCUUUUUCACAUUUCCCAAGAAUCUCCGCCAAUUUCACCUGAGAGAUCCUUUCUCCCGAAAUGGACCCAGCACUGCCGGAAUCCACGGAGGCGCCGCCACG